GUGCCAACUUUGUAUGGCUUGUGCGAAUUUUGAUGAUUAUUUGCUAUCCAAUAGCUUAUCCAAUUGGGAAGAUUCUGGACUGGGUUCUGGGGCAUAAUGAAGCAUUAUUUAGGCGAGCUCAGUUAAAAGCUCUUGUUUCCAUCCACGGUCAGGAGGCUGGCAAGGGAGGUGAGCUCACGCAUGAUGAGACAACAAUUAUUAGCGGAGCACUGGAUUUAACUGAAAAGACUGCUGAAGAGGCUAUGACGCCUAUUGAAUCCACUUUCUCAUUAGAUGUCAACUCCAAGUUGGAUUGGGAAGCAAUGGGCAAAAGAGGGCAUAGCCGAGUUCCUGUGUAUUCUGGGAAUCCAAAAAAUAUUAUAGGACUUCUUCUGGUGAAAAGCCUUCUCACUGUACGACCUGAGACAGAGACCCCAGUCAGUGCUGUUUCAAUUCGGAGAAUUCCACGGGUUCCAUCUGAUAUGCCUCUGUAUGACAUACUGAAUGAAUUUCAAAAGGGUAGCAGUCAUAUGGCAGCUGUCGUGAAGUCUAAAACAAAAACCAAGGUUCCUAUGCUAACUGGAGAAAAAAUUGAAGAAAAAGGAGCUUCUGGGGAUUCCCUAUUGACAACUCCACUGCUAGCCAAGCAAGAUGAGAAAUCAGAUAGUGUUGUUGUUGAUAUCAAUAGGGUUUCAAGGCCAUC
rnacentral:misc_RNA from 1 species